rfam:Gossypium arboreum cultivar AKA8401 contig_5807_5, whole genome shotgun sequence.
UAUUAAAAAUUUCAUCCAUUUGUAUUGUUAAAAUUGGCGUGUUUGACGGAAUAGCUAAGUAGUGCCACGUGUACCUCAUCCUGAUGUAUGAGGACCAAUUUUUACCGAUAGAAAUGGAUGAAAUUUUUAAAA